GUGAUUCAUCGAAUUUUUGAACGCAUCUUGCGCUCUCUGGUAUUCCGGAGAGUAUGCCUGUUUGAGGGUAAUUAAAAAGAAUCUUUAACCCAUUUUUUUUGGUCUAAGGAAAUGAGCUCUCCGCGUUUAUAGCGUCAUCUUGAAAUAACUGGUCAAGUCUCAUUUUAUUUGAGACGCGUAAUAAUA
rnacentral:misc_RNA from 1 species